UACAGAGGUCCCGAGCGUUAGGCGGAAUCACUGGGCUUAAAGCGUGUGUAGGUGGAUCGUUAAGUACCUUGUGAAAUCCCACGGCUUAACCGUGGAACUGCUUGGUAUACUGGGCGGUCUUGAGCCAGCUAGGGGCUACCGGAACAAAUGGUGGAGCGGUGAAAUGCGUAGAUAUCGUAAGGAAGACCAGUGGCGAAGGCGGGUCUCUGGACAGGUUCCUGACGCUGAGGGCAC
rnacentral:rRNA from 1 species